rnacentral:rRNA from 1 species
AAAUUCUUGGAUCGUCGCAAGACGCACUAGAGCGAAAGCAUUUGCCAAGUAUGUCUUAAUUGAUCAAGAACGAAAGUUAGAGGUUCGAAGGCGAUCAGAUACCGCCCUAGUUCUAACCAUAAACGAUGCCAGCCAGCGAUCCGCCGAAGUUCCUCCGAUGACUCGGCGGGGAGCUUCCCCCGGGAAACCAAAGCUUUUGGGUUCCGGGGGAAGUAUGGUUGCAAAGCUGAAACUUAAAGGAAUUGACGGAAGGGCACCACCAGGAGUGGAGCCUGCGGCUUAAUUUGACUCAACACGGGAAACCUCACCAGGCCCGGACAUUGGAAGGAUUGACAGAUCGAUAGCUCUUUCUCGAUUCAGUGGG